rnacentral:tRNA from 1 species
GAUUCGUUAGAUAGCGUUUUCCCGAAGAAUCUGACUUUUAAUCAGUGGGUCGCAGGUUCGAAUCCUGCACGGCUCACCA